rnacentral:lncRNA from 10 species
AGUCUGAGUUUUUCACAGCUAUAUCUCUGACACCUCUAAACACUUCAGUCGUCGCUUUCGGUUUUUAAUUUCCUUCCCCAUUUUUUUUCUUUACUUUUUUAUAAUGAGACAGGGGUCUCAUUAUGUUGCCCAGGCUGGUCUUGGACUCCUGAGCUCUAGCGAUCCUCCCGCCUCUGCCUCCCAAACUGUUGGGAUUACAGGCGUGAGCCACUGCGCCUGGCCUAUUUCUUUCCCUUUUUGUCUCCUUUCAAUUUUUUUUUUUAAACAAAAAGAGCAGUCUCUUUGAUCCAGAGCUUCACUGGAGGGUGAGGCUGUGGAUCCCAGGGUCCUGCGAGUGAGCGACUCAUUAUAUUCUACGCCUGGGCACCUCCCUCUCCCUACCCUAGUCCCGGCUCUUGAGGCUUCAACCAGGCGACAGCAGGAAGCAAGUUUAAUUUCACCCCCACCCCUACAAAUAUAGGUCCUUUUGCUGUUGCUUUCUACUUAUGGAAAUGGCCCUGGUUUCCUUUUGUUUCCUUUUGUGGUGGUGGCAUAAAAGUUCCUUCCCAAAUAAAUUCAUUUAAGUUUUUUUUUUUUUUUUAAAGGAAAAGCAAGUUGAUUGAAGGAAAAAUCUGUGGUCCGGGGAGAUGUUCCAAAUCCUGGAGGUGGAGAGGAAUGAAUGACGUUUGUGGCUUGCAGAUCAACUCCCCGCAGCGGGCGUGACGUUGUCACAGCCAAAAUUGUCCUCCACGCGCUGCUACGAGACGAGAAGUCUUGCCAUGUUGCCCGGGUUGGUCUCCAACUCUUGGGCUCAAGACAUCCUCCUGCUUCAGGCUCCCUCAGUGCUGAGAUUUCAGCACACAGAGGAAAGGCCAUGUGAGGACACAGCAAGAAGGCGGCCAUCUGCAAGCCAAGAAGAGAGUCCUCACCAGGAACCAACUCUGCUGACACCUUGCUGUUGGACUUCCAGCCUCUAUAAAUGUUCACAAGCACACCACUGUUUACACCCAUCUAGAAGGCCCCUCCCAGCUGACAUCUUUCUGCCUACCUUUCAGGAAGACAGACGAAACUCUCUGCCUUCAGGUGGGGCAAGACUGCUGAUGGCUGGAACAGGAGCUUGGCACCUCCACCCUGACCCAGACACAAGCCUGUCUGUCCCACUCAAAUCGAGCUGGCCAGAGACUACAACUGUGUUGGUUCCCAAGACAUAGAAAAGCCAGAAGAGGUCGGGCGCAGUGGCUCACGCCUGUCAGCACUUUGGGAAGCCGAGGCAGGCAGAUUACCUAAGGUCAAGAGUUCAAGACCAAUCUGGCCAAUGUGGUGAAACCCCAUCUCUACUAAAAAUACAAAAAUUAGCUGGGUGUGGUGGUGCACCUACAGGCCCAGCUACUCGGGCGGCUGAGGCAGGAGAAUCGCUGGAAUCCAGGAGGCAGAGGUUGCAGUGAGCCGGUAUCACGCCACUGCACUCCAGCCUGGGCGACAAGAGCUAAACUCCACCUCAAAAAACAACAACAACAACAAAACAAACAAACAGAAAACAAGCCAGAAGAGAUGGGGAGGAACUGGAGUGUGAUCUCCCAUUCCAUUAACCCAGAUCUGGGACUACCAGGUGGAACAUUCCAAACAUAUCAUUUUUUAUUUUCUCUCUCCCUCUCUCUUAAGGCACAUCUUCCAAUACUCUGCAGUCAUUAAGCAGAAUGAGGCAGGUCUGGAUGUGCUGAUUUGGGGAAGGUGUCCACAGUAUAUAAUUAACUGGAAAAAGCUAUCAUGGAACUGUGUGCCUGCAACGAUCCCUAUUUGUGAAAGUAAAAGGAGGAUAUUCGUAUCGACUCUGGUGUGCAAAUAGAAAAUGCCAGGGCGGAUACACCGGGCAGCUCUUAGCAGAGCUAUAUUAGGGGGAAGGGAGGAGCUGAGAGAGAGACUCCAUUCAAUAUGCUCCCCCUCCGAUAGGGUUUGAAUUCCUUGCGUUUUAUCAUGAGCAUGUAUUGCUUUUCUAAGAAAAGAAAUCCACCAGGUGCGGUGGCUCAUGUCUGUAAUCCCAACACUUUGGGAGGAUGAGGUGGGAGGAUUGAUUGCUUGAGGCCAGGAGGUGGAGGUUGCAGUGCGCUGUGAUUGCACCACUGCACUCCAGCAUGGGUGACAGAGGGAGAUCCUGUCUAAUUAAAAUUUAAAAAAAAAAUUAGAAAGAAAAUGAAGGCCAGGCAUGAGCCACCACUUUAGGAGGCCGAGGCAGGCAGAUCACCUGAGAUCAGGAGUUCGAGACCAGCCUGGCCAACAUGGUGAAACCCUGUCUCUACUAAAAAUACAAAAAUUAGUUGGGCAUGGUAGCGUGUGCCUUUAAUCCCAGCUACUUGGGAGGCUGAAGCAGGAGAAUUGCUUGAACCCACGAGGCAGAGGUUGCAGUGAGCCCAGAUCGCGCCAUUGCGCUCCAGCCUGGGUGACACAGCGAAAUUCCGUCUCAAAAAAAAAAAAAAAGGAAAAAAAGAAAAAGAGACACUGCCUCUAAAAAACAAAUAAGUCUCUCUCUGUCUCUCUCUUUGUGUGUUUCUCUCACGCCUGUGGAUUCUGUUUCUCUGGAGAACCCUGACUAACACAGCAGAACUUUACAAAUUGUCUCUCUAGUCUGCAGCUACCCAUUUUAUAGAUGAGAAAACUGAGGCCCAGGGAGGGGAAUGGCUGCUCA